rnacentral:rRNA from 1 species
GACGAACGCUGGCGGCGUGCUUAACACAUGCAAGUCGAACGGAAAGGCCCUGCUUUUGUGGGGUGCUCGAGUGGCGAACGGGUGAGUAACACGUGAGUAACCUGCCCUUGACUUUGGGAUAACUUCAGGAAACUGGGGCUAAUACCGGAUAGGAGCUCCUGCUGCAUGGUGGGGGUUGGAAAGUUUCGGCGGUUGGGGAUGGUCUCGCGGCUUAUCAGCUUGUUGGUGGGGUAGUGGCUUACCCAGGCUUUGAGGGGUAGCCGGACUGGGAGGGUGACCGGCCACAUGGGCCCUGGGAAAGGGCCAAAACGCAAUCGGGGGGAAGGGGGGGAAACCUUGCAGAACGGGGCGGCGGCAGUUGGGAGAAACGCCGGGGGGGAGAACACGGCUUUGGGGGAAGAACACAUUUUCACGUGUGCAGAAGCGUCGUGACGGUAACUGGGCAAAAAGCCACGGCUAACUACGUG